rnacentral:rRNA from 1 species
UACGUAGGGUGCAAGCGUUGUCCGGAAUUAUUGGGCGUAAAGAGCUCGUAGGCGGUUUGUCGCGUCUGCUGUGAAAAUCCAGGGCUUAACCCUGGACCUGCAGUGGGUACGGGCAGACUAGAGUCCGGUAGGGGAGCGUGGAAUUCCUGGUGUAGCGGUGAAAUGCGCAGAUAUCAGGAGGAACACCAGCGGCGAAGGCGGCGCUCUGGGCCGGUACUGACACUGAGGAGCGAAAGCGUGGGUAGCAAACAGG